CGGCUAGCCUCCAAGGGAUUUGGGAAUGAUGCAUGAUUCUACAGGUUGCAUCUUCUAAGCUGCAAGUCAAGAGCUCAGCAUCUCCCAGAAAUGCCUGUUCUGAGCUCCAUGGAAGUCCUACAGGGCCACCACAGAUCUGGGCAUCCUGAUCAACAUUCAGUGGCAAGCCUGGAGGGGCAAUGCUUGCCUCCCAUUGUAUGGCAGGCCAGAUAUGUUCCUGGCCCAUCAGAAGCCUCCUUCUGGAUGCAGUCUAUAAGCCACUGUGAUGGAUGAGAAGAGCCCAGGAUGGAGGUGAAAGUCUGGAACUGGAAUCUGAGCCCUUAUUUUUCUGACUCACUGUUUUACCUUGGAAGAAUCACUGAAGUUUUCUGCAUCUCUGUUUCCUCAUAUGUUUAAAAAAGAAAGCACUUAACCUUGGUGGAUGUGAAAAAUAAAUGAAAUAAUUUCUAGAAAUGUGCCUAGUUCAAUACAUUGAAACCCAC
rnacentral:lncRNA from 10 species